rnacentral:lncRNA from 1 species
CCUAUUUUCUACCACCUAAUAUACACCUACAGUCCACUACACUGUUCCCAAGUUAAACCUAACCACAUUUCUACAACAUUAUCAUGCGUUUGACAGAAAACAACAAGGAAAAAGAAUGGGUCACAGUGGAAAAUCGUACCUGACAUAGUUAAGUUGAAAGGGUACGGUGGUGUCCGAGCAGAAGACGGUGGUUCAGAUAGGAGGACGGGCGGAGACGGCGGUCCAGACGGUUGAGCAAGCAAACGAGAGAGAAGGUGGAG